GAUGAACGCUGGCGGCGUGCUUAACACAUGCAAGUCGAACGGAAAGGCUCCUGCUUGCAGGGGUACUCGAGUGGCGAACGGGUGAGUAACGCGUGGGUGAUCUGCCCUGCACUUCGGGAUAAGAGUGGGAAACUGGGGCUAAUACCGGAUAGGACGAUGGCUUGGAUGCCAUUGUGGAAAGUUUUUCGGUGUGGGAUGAGCUCGCGGCCUAUCAGCUUGUUGGAGGGGUAAUGGCAUAGCACGGCGUCGACGGGUAGCCGGCCCGGGAGGGGGUACGGCAACAUUGCGUCUGAGAUACGACCCAGACCCCAAUGGUAGGCAGGAGUGGGGAAUAUAACACAACGGGAUCAAGCCUGAUGCGGCGACGCCGCGUGGGGGAUGACGGCCUGCUGGUUGUAAACUCCAUUCGCGAUGUACGAAGCGCAAGUGACGGUACCUAGAGAAGAAGCACCGGCUAACUACGUG
rnacentral:rRNA from 1 species